rnacentral:lncRNA from 1 species
AAUCGCCGUCCGGCAGUCACCCGUCGCCCACUCGUCGUCUCCUCCGACUCCCCAAAUUUCUCCAAUCUUCAAUUUGACCAUGGUGCUGUUCAAUCUUCAAGUCCAUUGUCGACCUCAAAUCCCCAAUCGGUAGCCCCUCAAUCUCCCCCAAAUUUGGUGUUUUUUUAAUAUAAUUUGGUGUUUUUUAUGCAAAUUAUAUACUCAUGUCUUCAUACAACUUAUUGUGCAAACGUGCGCCAUCAAAAUUAAAAAAAUAACAAUUUCAAAUUUAAACAUAAAAUAACAUUUUUCUAGAAAAUUUGUAAUUUAAAAUAUUUUGCACAAAAAUAUUUUUUUUCCAAAAAUGGGUUUGGCCCUUGCAACGAAUUCUAAAUUAAGUUGGGCCGGCAUAAUGGUGGGCCUAAAAUCCAACACAGUACCCUUUCAAAAAAAACCCAACCCAAUACUAGCUCACAAGAUGGGCUAGGCCAAAUUUGUAGCCGGAAGAAUGGUGGGCCUAAACCCAACCCAGUACCCUUUCAAAAAAAAAACCCAAUCCAAUACUAGCUCACGAGAUGGGCUACUACAAAUUUAUAAAAGCGUCUCUACAUUUGUUGCAACGUAAAUUGAGUGUGUCAAACUAUUAGUAGGGACGUGAGCGAAACAUGUCAAAUAAAACGUCCCUACAUGUAUAGACACGAGUUUCAACAUCUCUACAAAGCAUCUUAUAUCUUAUAGACACGCUUAGCUAGCAUCUCUACAUAACUUGACACGGUCCCUGAGGAGAUGCUUCAAGGACACUUUGUGAAAGCGACUCUAUAACUCAAUAGAGAUGAAAUAUCACGUCUUUAGUCUGCUAAUUGGGCGCCUCUACAGGCAUGUUUUGUUGUUUUUUUUAUGGCAGCUUUUGUUGAUCUCAAAGUUAUAUCGAGCGAUACAAACCAAAGAGUAUCACACCCCCAGCCUCUACGCCGAAGCACACACACCACACAAGUACAGAACAAAACUCAACUAUUACAAAGAAAGAAAAAAAAAAACUCUAAGCGGGCUCAACCCGUAAACUAGACCGCCACCCAUAGUGGGUAAAAAAGUCCCUGACCACUUGCUCCAAACUGUUGGACGCCAUCAAAGCCAGCUGGUUAUCCAUAGGCUUGAGGAGGGUAGACCAAGUACGGAGCCAAUGAGUGCACGAAUAUAAGACCUGCAUAGGAAAAGUUAAGUUCUUUCUAUUAAAAACAAUAUCAUUUCUGCAUAGCCAAAUUGCCCAACAUAAAGCAGCAGCCCCAACCAUUAGGAGCACUCUCAACCUUUUAUUAACCCCUCGUAACCAGGACCCAAACAUGUGAGUAGCAUCACGAGGGGGAAAAAGAUUGGAUGCUAUUUGGACCAUUGACCACACAGAGCGAGAGACACGACAACGAAAAAAAGAUGUGUAAUAGUCUCAUCUUCAUGACAAAAAAGGCAUUUUGAACUACCCUUCCAAUUCCGCUUUAACAGGUUAUCUUUAGUUAAAGUGACCCCCCACAGCAAGAACCAAAGGAAUUUUAAUCUUGAGAGGAACCUUUAGUUUCCACAAGCUGUUGUUGGCAAUCGGAGCAUCAGAAUGAACCAAAGCCUGGUACAUGGAUUUGACCGAAAACACGCCACUGGCAUGGAGAUUCCAUCAGAACUCGUCACGCCCAGGGGAAAGGUUCGCAUUAAUAAGGCGAUCAAGUAGCUCAGUCCAGACGAUCAAUUUGGGUCCAACAAGGCUUCACGCUUAUUCGCACAAUGAGAAAC